rnacentral:lncRNA from 1 species
GGUCAUCAAGAAAUCAUUGGGAUGUCACAUGCCACAUUUUAGAUGAACUUGUUCUCCAAGGGGACAAUUUUUAGAGGUUUGAAGUCCAUUCUUCGAAGCUAUGCGCAUAUGCCUCGUUUGAAGCAUUGAUAUCAGUCUUUGGACUUAAAUAGCAUUAUGAAUUGUUAUUUAGGAAGUGAAUAAAAUGUUAUUGAUUUCAUCACAAAGCCAAAAAAAUCUUAGAGAGACUUGGAAAGGGUAGAUCAUGUGUUAUUUUUCCUUGCUACUAAAAAGGAGUUCCUUGUGCUUUACAUGCAGCUUAGAAAAGGUGGAUUUGCAGCAGAUGAACCAUCUAAGAUCCUGGUAUGCUAUUUCUUUGUUGCCUUCGACUCCUAACAAAUGCAAGUUUGACUUCAUUUUAUCCCUGGUGAAACAGUGCUCCAAACAGCUGAGAGAUCAUAGCCACUAGCACAACAUUUCACGUCAGAUUCUCCAAGUCAGCCCCACGCGACAAAGUCAAUUCUUGUCUUUGCCUCAUUAUGAAGGCAAUUAUAUGCAGAGAAGGAAAACAAAAGUGGCCACCGACAAAUAUUAUUCAACGCAUUGUACGACUCUGCCAGCAUUUUCUAAUUAAUGGCGGAAUUAGGCGCAUCGCUUGCUAUAGAAGACAAAGGUUGAGAUUGAGACUGCACCAAAGGGAAUCUAAGAGACAGCUUUUUUCCUCAUGCUUGUCCAUGAUGAUUGCUACUGCAACCUAAACUUCCCGCACAUCGAGUUCUUCAUGGAUCGCAUGCCAGGUCAGUAUAUCAGUGAAUUAGUUUUCCCAAGUCAAAUUUACUUCUGCUCAGCAGUGAAACAAAGGAGUUGCUU